rnacentral:rRNA from 1 species
GACGAACGCUGGCGGCGUGCUUAACACAUGCAAGUCGAACGGAAAGGCCCUGCUUUUGUGGGGUGCUCGAGUGGCGAACGGGUGAGUAUCACGUGAGUAACCUGCCCUUUACUUUGGGAUAACUUCAGUAAACUGGGGCUAAUACCGGAUAUGAGCUCCUUCUGCACGGUGUGGGUUGUAAAGUUUCGGCGGAUGGGGAUGGACUCGCGGCUGAUCAGCUUGUUGGUGGGGUAGUGGCUUACCAAGGCAUUGACGGGUAGCCGGCCUGAGAGGGUGACAGGCCACAUUGGGACUGAGAUACGGCCCAUACUCAUACGGGAGGCAGCAGUGGGGAAUAUUGCAAAAUGGGCGGAAGCCGGAAGGAGGAACGCCGCGUGCGGGAUGACGGCCUUCGGGUUGUAAACCGCGUGAGCCUGUGAAGAAGAGUGAGUGACGGUAAUGGGUAAAGAAGGACCGGCUAACUACGUG